rnacentral:lncRNA from 1 species
CCAAAUCAGUGUCAAAGACUUCAACAUAAUCAUUUGGAACAGCAAAUCACAUGAAUCCGCAAUCAACAUUUGAGAAUACAAUCAUUCAGGUGAUUGGAGAAAUCUAUAUAAGUUUCCACCCUAUAUACACAAGCAGACAGACACAUGAAAGUUGUGUUCGGUCACAUGCAUAAAGAGCUAGCAUAUGGAAAUGGUCUGCGAAAAAUGAUUGUGGUUGGAGCUAGCAUAUGGAAAUGUUUUGCAGUUUGCAGUUUGUGGAAGUUCUAGGUGCCGAG